rnacentral:miRNA from 1 species
CAGUGCAUCAUGGGAUAUGUA